rnacentral:lncRNA from 10 species
AGCCUGAACUUUCUCAUCCAACACCCGUUCAAGUCGGAGGAUGCUGAUUAAUUCAUGAUGGAAAGCUCUUCUUGGACUAAAAGGCCCUCAGCAUUCCUGUCAAUUUCUACACUCCUGAAGCUUCAUCUGGAGACCUCUGUGGAUUCUAUAACUCAAAGACCCAGGCUGACGGCUGGUGGAAUAGCUACCAUCUCAAACAUGGCGUGAUGCUGCAUCAGAGAGAAAAAUAAGCUCUUGCAUUGACAAUGAAAUGUCUACCCUGUAGUGACUUGUGCUUACUUCCACUCACAAGUGAUUGCCCAGAGCUACUUACCUGGCUCCAAUCUACCACUGGGUCAGACGUUUGCUGAAUUCAGUUCUGAGCUUUUGAACCAAAAGCAGAUCUUCAGAACAAGAAACAAGAUAAUAAAAGAGAAACAUGAAGAAACUGAAGAUGAUUGGAGAAAUAUGAAUCAAGAUGAUUAGACCUAGCAGAGGGCUGGCUGGAUGGCAUUUAUGUUGACAAUGGACUCCUACACAGAGGAUGAUCAUGGUCUAGGA